AUGAGGAUGGAGAUUCCGACUGUUUCUGGUGCUGCUACUUCUGAGACUUCAACCAGGCAUGAGGAUCAAGAGAUGGAGGAUGCUGCUACUUCUCAUCCUGCUCCACCUAGUGUUAUCAUUGAUCUCCCUGACGAUGAAGAUGAAGCGCCACUGAGGCCAAGGAGGAGCAGGAAGUCGACUGCUGGCAAGACUGCUCAGGUUGCGUCAGCACCUGAACCAUUGGUUCCGGAGGGGAGCAAUGUUGCUCGAGCUACUGUGUCCUUUGUGGAUUCGUUGACAAGUGCCCGUCCUCCAUCGUCGAGUGCUGAUCCACCUUCUCUCUUCUCUACAUACCACAUCCCGGAGGACCAAGCAGGCGCUACCAAGGAAGCCAUACGCUAA
rnacentral:rRNA from 1 species